UACGGGGGGGGCAAGCGUUGUUCGGAUUUACUGGGCGUAAAGGGCUCGUAGGCGGCCAACUAAGUCAGACGUGAAAUCCCUCGGCUUAACCGGGGAACUGCGUCUGAUACUGGAUGGCUUGAGUUUGGGAGAGGGAUGCGGAAUUCUCGGUGUAGCGGUGAAAUGCGUAGAUAUCGAGAGGAACACCUGCGGCGAAGGCGGGUUGCUGGGCUGACACUGACGCUGAUGCGCGAAAGCCAGGGGAGCGAACGGG
rnacentral:rRNA from 1 species